UGAGCAAUCUGCCCUUCACAUCGGAAUAACCAUUGGAAACGAUGGCUAAUACCGAAUAUGACUUCGGAUCGCAUGAUCUGAAGUGGAAAGCUCCGGCGGUGAAGGAUGAGCUCGCGGCCUAUCAGCUUGUUGGUGAGGUAAUAGCUCACCAAGGCGAUGGACGGGUAGCCGGCCUGAGGAGGGUGACCCGGCCACACGUGGGACUGAGACACCGGCACGUACCG
rnacentral:rRNA from 1 species